rnacentral:rRNA from 1 species
UUGAACGCUGGCGGCAGGCCUAACACAUGCAAGUCGAACGGUAACAGGAAGAAGCUUGCUCCUUUGCUGACGAGUGGCGGACGGGUGAGUAAUGUCUGGGAAACUGCCUGAUGGAGGGGGAUAACUACUGGAAACGGUAGCUAAUACCGCAUAACGUCGCAAGACCAAAGAGGGGGACCUUCGGGCCCUCUUGCCAUCGGAUGUGCCCAGAUGGGAUUAGCUAGUAGGUGGGGUAACGGCUCACCUAGGCGACGAUCCCUAGCUGGUCUGAGAGGAUGACCAGCCACACUGGAACUGAGACACGGUCCAGACUCCUACGGGAGGCAGCAGUGGGGAAUAUUGCACAAUGGGCGCAAGCCUGAUGCAGCCAUGCCGCGUGUAUGAAGAAGGCCUUCGGGUUGUAAAGUACUUUCAGCGGGGAGGAAGGGAGUAAAGUUAAUACCUUUGCUCAUUGACGUUACCCGCAGAAGAAGCACCGGCUAACUCCGUG